GACGAACGUUGGCGGCGUGCUUAAUACAUGCAAGUCAACUGAAGCAGUGGUAGCAAUAUCGCUGUGGAGGUGGCGCACGGGUGAGUAACACGUAGGUAAUCUGCCUUCAGGUCUGGCAUAACUCCGGGAAACCGGGGCUAAUAGCAGAUGAUGCAGCGGCUCGACAUCGAGACAGUUGUUAAAGCUAUGGCGCCUGAAGAUGAGCCUGCGUCUGAUUAGCUAGUUGGCGGGGUAACGGCCCACCAAGGCAACGAUCAGUAGCUGGUCUGAGAGGAUGAUCAGCCACACUGGAACUGAGACACGGUCCAGACUCCUACGGGAGGCAGCAGUAAGGAAUAUUGCUCAAUGGGAGAAAUCCUGAAGCAGCGACGCCGCGUGAGGGACGAAGGGCUUUUGCUUGUAAACCUCUGUAGUGAGAGAAAAAAAUCCCAAUCUUUGGGACAUGAUGGUAUCUCAAAAGUAAGCCCCGGCUAACUACGUG
rnacentral:rRNA from 1 species